rnacentral:rRNA from 1 species
CACGUAGGGCGCAAGCGUUGUCCGGAAUUACUGGGCGUAAAGCGUGCGUAGGCGGUGCCUCAAGUUUGGUGUGAAAUCUCCCGGCUCAACCGGGAGGGUGCGCCGAAAACUGAGGUGCUCGAGUGUGGGAGAGGUAAGCGGAAUUCCUGGUGUAGCGGUGAAAUGCGUAGAUAUCAGGAGGAACACCGGCGGUGUAGACGGCUUACUGGACCAUAACUGACGCUGAGGCACGAAAGUGUGGGGAGCAAACAGG